rnacentral:rRNA from 1 species
UAGGGAAUAUUGGACAAUGGGCGCAAGCCUGAUCCAGCAAUGCCGCGUGCAGGAUGAAGGCCUUCGGGUUGUAAACUGCUUUUGUACGGAACGAAAAGGCUCUGGUUAAUACCUGGGGCUCAUGACGGUACCGUAAGAAUAAGCACCGGCUAACUACGUGCCAGCAGCCGCGGUAAUACGUAGGGUGCAAGCGUUAAUCGGAAUUACUGGGCGUAAAGCGUGCGCAGGCGGUUAUGUAAGACAGAUGUGAAAUCCCCGGGCUCAACCUGGGACCUGCAUUUGUGGCUGCAUAGCUAGAGUACGGCGGAGGGGGAUGGAAUUCCGCGUGUAGCAGUGAAAUGCGUAGAUAUGCGGAGGAACACCGAUGGCGAAGGCAAUCCCCUGAGCCUGUACUGACGCUCAUGCACGAAGGCGUGGGGAGCAAACA